AAAAAAAAAAAAAAAAAAAAAAAAAAAAAAAAAAAAAAAAGAAAUAGCAGCUUUUAUUUGAGACUCCACCAGUGGAAUUCAGAAUCAGGCUGGGCCUGAAUUUAGGAUCCUCCUGCCUCAGCCUCCAGAGUGCUGAGAUUACAGGUGUGCACCAGAUCGCCCAGUAAGCAUCCCAGUCUUUAGAUCAGAGGGAAGUAUCUAGAUGGAUAUUCUCACACCAGGCAGGAGUGAGUUUCCACUGGAGGCUCUCCCUUGUUGGCAGCAGAGCACAACUCUGGCUGAUUGAAGCAGAAAAGGAAUUUGUUAAAGGGCCAUUGUGUAGUUCAUGGAUGGAGGCAUGUGGGGUGAGACCAGACUCACCGGCCACCUGGGCAGGAAGAAGACCAGGGCCAAGGGCUGUCAGGACUGGCCCAGAACAACUCCACACCCACGUGGCUGCACCUAUGCGCACGACAGGACCAUGCAUGCCUCCUGCCCCUGAGAUCCGCCCACUGCUGCUUCUGGAAGAGGUGUGGCAUGACGUACACAGGAAGGACAGAGCCACCAGCUUUCCCGGGGCCAGCAGGCUGCUUGGCUUGUGUUUGCUCGGUCGACUGUCUGGAGCUGGAUCUGGAUACUUCUCAAAGGGGAGGAAGGACUGCAGAUGCUGGGUGAGAAGAGCCAAAUGACAGAUGUCCAUCAGGGUAGGAGAAGCUGUGACAGGCUGAGGCCCAGGAGCCAGGUCAGCACGGGGAGGAGUCUGUCAGAAUGCAGCAGCUGGGGCAGGGGUGCCUGGGUUUUGUGGCCAGGGAAUACAGGUUGGUCAAAGCAAGGGGCAGCCAAGUGUCAUGAUGACAUCGCACUAUUCGGUGUCACGAAGUACAGGGAAUCCUGUGUAAUACUGAGGAAUAUUCGUUGAGUGUGGAAGAUGAACCAAGCUGAAAUAUCCGAGAUAGCUGUAUUAGUUCUCUCGAGCUGCUGUAAAAAAUCACCAUGGACCAGGAGGCUUAAUUGACAGAAGUAGAUCCCCGCCCAGUCCUGGGGGGCACUCGUGUGAAAUGAGGGUGUUGGCAGGUUGUGCCCCAGGAGGCUGUGGGGAUGAACCCAGGCAGGUCCUUCUCCCCAUUCUGAUGUCACCCACCAUCCUGAGAGAUUGUCAUCGUUCUAGCAUCUGCCUCCAUCUCCACACUGCCUGUUGCUGGGCUGUGUCUUCAUAGGGUGUCUCUCUCUGGAAAGUAAGUUACCUGCCUCCCAAACAUGGACAGUGCAGGUAUGGGUUGACAUCCUGUCCAAAGAGAGAUAGGAUGAAGGGUCACAGUCCUAGGAAAGACACAGGCCUAAAAAUGACUCUGGCCAGAUGCUCUGUCCCCUCCCCUCCGGACUGGUGGCUGUUGCUGCACCUCCUCUGCCUUUGCCCUGUGCCCAUUGUCCUCUGAGUCCUGCUUCCCCUGACUUGACGGAGGACGUGCGUCUACAGCCACGUAGCUUCCUGUCUGCACAGAUUCCACAAUGCUCAGAGCAUUGACCCGGAGCAGAACAGCCAGCUUCUGCUGCCUGUGAGGACAGCAGCUCGUGGCUCUUGCUUGCAUUCCUUGCCCUUGAGUUCGGUGUGUGCCUCUCCAGGAUGGACACAAGCAGAGUGGCCAGCGGCAGCUGUGUGUGUCUGCUGCAGGAAAGCUGAGAUGUUGAUCUACUCCUGAAAGGGCCCCCAGCAUUGGAUUGGGCUGCUUUCCUUACCUUUUCAGCCAGCACGCGGUUCUCCAGGCCGAAGAGCUCCCUUCUUGUCCUUCCUGCUGUCUGUUGUCUGGAGUGCUGUCAAAGCCAAAAGUGUGCUGAUCUGAAUAUGAUGUUCCUGACCCCUGCAGUCUGGUUGGGACCUGCUUUUCUAUAGAUUUUAGUUUGUUUUUCUUUUUUUUUUUUUUGGUACCAGGGAUCGAACUUGGGACCUUGUGCUUACGAGGCAGGCAGCGGAACCACUGAGCUAAAUCCGGGGCCCUCUAUAGAUCCUAGUACAAAGAGAUCUGCAGCAGGGUGCAUGUUGAGGGAGCAGCCAAACUUUCUGCACUGAUGCAGUGUGAUAACAAGUGGGACCAUGACCCAGGCCUGCUCAGGUGGGCAAAGCACAGGCUCCCCACCAGGAAAAGGGAGAGAUGUUAACGCUGGCUCUUAUCAUCACAUCUGGGAAAAGAGGUCCAGGAAAACAAGGCUUCAUCACAUGGACCUUUGAGCUUUACAGUCAGGCUUCCUGAAUGCUGCAGAUGCCCUGGGAAAAAUGGCAGACUUUCAGUUUGGGUCCUGGUGCAGAGGACACAUGUCCUUUACUAUUUUUCUAGGCAGAUAUGUCCUUUGAGGUUUCGGAUGGAGUGGGAGGUGCAAAUGCAGUGUGGCAUGUUGCUUAUGGUAAAGCUAAGUUGGGUUUCCUCCUGGACAGCCGUCCAGGACCCAAUCUGCCUCAUCCCUGGCAGAGCCCUCCUUGUGACGAUGCUGGACCUCCUCCCGAUUGUGGCUCCUGCUGGCAGAGUUGGAAAAGCAGAUGGGGCUCUGACUGCUCAGGAGGAGCCAUGGACGAGGGGUUCGGGCGGCUUACAGCCUGGCUCCACAGGGAGCACAUCCCGACGCUGCCUGCCACCUGGGUAGUGUGUGCCUGGUAAACAUUUGGCUGUCCCAGGAUGACAAUGAAGCAGAUGCUGACCCUCCACACUGUGUGACACAAGCCACUUCCCAUAGGUGGGUGCACAUGAGACUCGGUGGCCCUGGUGGCUUCCUUGCUGGCUCUCAAGAACCAGGUGUCUGGUUGACUUCUAAAAAGCAGGGGCUGGGUCAGAUGGUGGGGGGAAGACAGGGGACCCAGGAGCUGGCUGGGGACACAGGCCAGCAGAUGACUCCAUUUAUGCAAAAGUACACGAGCGCCACUCCCUUGAGACCAGAGCCAGGCAGUGUGUGAGGAAGACACUCUGGCAGCCAGCCUGCACCCUAACUGGAGCCACAGCUGCACGGUGACAACUAAGCCAAGGUAGCCUGGAAGUUGUGAGUCCUUGGCCCAAACCUGGCAUUCACAUGAGCUCUGGGCUCCUCAACCUUUUGUGACAUAGGUGGCACAGGAGCAGAUGUCACCCCAGAGGGCAUUUCCGAUCUUGGAAGGACCUGUGUCACUGGGGACUCCUCAGACAGCAGCAGAACCCUGUCCCACCAUCUACACUGUCCCGUCUACCCUGUUGUCCCUCUGCAUCGAAGAAGUGGUUCAGCGGGGAUCUGGACAGUCAGCCCUUUGGACAUCUUCCUUGUAGAAAUUCUGCAUCUCCACUACACAUACCACACACAUCUCUACCCUCCCUCCAUGUAUCAGUGUGUACAUGUAUUUAUACAAACAUGUAGGUGACCCCGGUCCCAAGCCCCACAACUGGAGUUGCCACCUGUAGCCGGCUUGACAAUGAUGAUGAUAACAGGGGACGGAUGGACACAUGGAACGGAUGUAGCUCUAGCAGACAGAGGAGCCCAGAACCUCCGGCUCACCUCGCUUUUAUUCACCCAAACAUGGGCACAAGUAAUCAAGAACUGUUGCACGGUGGCCAAAAUAUUGCAACAUUGUUGAGAUUUGAUAGUGAGAAAUAAAUAAGACAGCACAGCACCUGGUAGAGGAGCCCAGGGUUCCUGAGCCCAGGUGCUCUGGGAAGAUCGGAGAAGAAGGGGGCCAGGCUGGGCUCUGGGUCGUUGACAAGACCCAAGUCAGGUACCAGGUCUGCUCCUGUGGUGGAGAUACAGGACAGAUGGCAGCUGGGAAGCCCAGGAGAGGCGGCAAGGUGGAAGGCAGCAUGCUUUCUGUAAGCAGCAGAUCAGCAAGGGCUUCGGAAUGAGAAGAGCUCGGACAGAUCCUCAGCAGGUGGCAUUUUUGUUCAAUGAUUUUAUUCGUAGCUGCCUGCGCUCAUCAACUGUGACAUAUUAAUCAUGCAAAUUAGGAUAUUAUUAAUGAAGGAAAAAUUAAUCCUGCCACUGUGUCUGGUCUGUGGUGACAGCUUUGUUAAUACCCUCUCACUGCGUAAUACAGUCAGCAGCUUCUCCCGGCCACUGCAAGUGGGCACAUUAACAUCCAGGGAAAAGGUCAUGGAUCGAAGCUUAGGAGCAACAGGGCCAGUAUCACAAGCUCACACUCAUUGGCGCAUGUGUUUUCAGGACAGACUUGUGCAAUCCUGACCUCCUUCCCACUGAGUAAACUGUUGGUAGUGCAAGGGGACUGGCACCACUUCAAGACUUCUCCAGGGAAUCUCACUGAAUACAGUGCCAGCCCCCAGUUCCCAGCAGGGAGCAGCACGCCUGGGUCCCCUCACAACAUCCGUGUCCCAGCCGCUGGGUUCCCAAGUUUGCAGACAAUGUGAAGCAGCCUUCCUUGGCCAGUGCACCUUCUCCUCUGGCCUCUCUUCUGGGAUGGGAGCUGGCUGGCCUCAAGGUUUGUCUUUAUGGCUCUGGAGACAGGCGGGAACUAUAAUGUAGCCCACGCCCACUUCCCACGCUGUCCUCUCUGGAUGCUGGCUCUCCCUGCACCCUACCUGGAGCAGUGAUCAGCUUCCAGUCUGUGCCAAGACCCGAGACACGCUGCUUUGGGGCCUUAGGUGAAUCACCCUAUGUGGAGGGCAGGGCCCCCUGGAAAGAUUGCCAAGUCGCCCCACCUUGGCCACGGAACCUGGCUGGACCAAAAGGAGACGGCUGGAGGCACACGGGGGACCGACAGGACCUGUGGAGGACAGUGUUCGCCUCGGCCGCCGUGGACCUGAGUGGGAGGUCGGCGCCUGGGGCUCUCUGAGCCUGCUCGAGCCUUGCUCCUCUCCAUGCCUUGGGGCCACAGAAGGAGGGGAGUUUCUAAGUGACCUGCUGUCUGGAGACCUGGCCCUUCUUCCCAUCGCCGUCAUUACUGCCAUUGCUGUCCUCCUGUCCCCAAGAUGCCCCAGGCCUCGGUCCUUCUCCAUGACCUCGCACAGAUGGAGACUUUCGUGAUUCUUCUCUCCCGGGGUUGACCCCACCCGCCUCCCUUCCAAGCCCCUCCCCUGGGCUGCUCCCUUCUGAGCCCAGUGGCAGGUGGGGGUGAGACCUGCCCAAGCCUGAGAGGGAGGGGACAGUUGGGGAAGUAGAGAAGGGACUGCAAAAUGCCACGCCCCAGGCAGCUCAGAUGGCUCCUCCUGCUGCAGAAACCAUGUGGGUCUGGGCGCUCUGGUCACCUACACCCCAGAGCACUUCUGAUGGGUGAGGUGGGGACCAGAGUUGGGGAAUCUUGCAGCUGGCCUCUCACAGGAGGGUUUGGAGACACCCAAGAGAUUCUGACAGACUCCCGAGUUGCCGAUUGAUUAUUUUUUGGGGACAGGGCUUUGCUAUGUAACCCAGGUUGACCUUGAACUCUCAGCAAUCUUUCUGCCUCAGCCUCCUGAGUGCUGGGAUUACAGAUAAACCCCACCAUGCCCACUGCUGCUCUACUUAAAGAAGUCACAGCAUGGCAACUUUACCUGUUUGCACCUGGGGGAAACUUUGUACUAGUGAGGACUCUUCUUCAGCUGAGGCUCAGGGCCAAGACUUUCUGAGCUCCUGGUUGGAUUUGCUUGGGGCUGCUCCCAGGGGCCAUGGGCCCGCAUCUCCCUCUUAUAUGACACGGGGUGAUAUGGAGUCAUGGGUGCUCCUGACAGCUGGGCAGCCAUCAGGGACUGGACCUUCCCAGGCUCCUGCCUCUAUCCCCUGGUGGCCCUCGGUCCCCUCCACCUGGCUGCUGCAUGAGCCACACGAACACAGCUAGAAACCGGAGGGCUUGUGCUUCUACCCUGUUGUGGGUCAAUGUGAUCCUGACUUCCUGGCCAGAGGGGGCGAUCCACGGUGCUGUGUGGCACGGAAACUUGAUCCUCACGGGGAGGGCACCUGGCAGCCUCACUGGUCAGGGAGGGGAGAGUCCCGGGAGGGGACGCGUCGCUUUCCUUCUUGGGUUUCAGAGACGCAGGGCAGGCCAGGGGUGAGCCCUGAACCUCUGUCCUGGGUGGGGGUCUGUCUCAGCUCAGAACCCUCCUUUGGAAUAGCACGGGCAUUUUUUCAGUUUUCAUUGUUGCUAGUCCACGUUUGCAGUACAUGUCGGUCACAUUCCCAGGGCAGGUUGGUGCAUGGACCUAACACACCUCGGUUCUUUUUACUUCCCCUUCUCUGCCUCCACCCUUUCUCCAUUCCCAUUUGCAAAAGAUCUUUCUCCCUGUUUCCUGUUAUCUAUCUUUGAUUUUGCUCCUUGAUUUAUUUAUACUUCAGGUUUCUCUUAUAAGAAAAACCAUUCAGUAUUGAAGCUUGUGUGUCUGAUUAUUUCACUUAACCUAUGGUCUCAGGUGCAUCCAUUUUCCUACAAAUGACUCAAGCUUAUUCGUCUUUAUGGCAGAGUAGUCCUCUGUUGAGUAUAAAGACAUGGUCUUUACCCAUUCAUCUGUUGAUGGACGUACAGGCUAGCUAUUAUGAGCUGUGCUGCUAGAAACAUGAGUAUCCAUGUAUCACUGCAAUAUGAUGUCUUUAGCUCCUUUGAGACAACACCUAGAAUGGGAAUUGCUGAGUCACAUGGAAUUGCUAGUUUUACUUAGCAUAGUUUUUUAUUUGUUUGGUUAAUUAUUUUUGCCCUGGGGGGGUCCUUGACUUUUCCUCCCUGCUCAUAGGUGAAGUUCUGGGUAGAACUUGAAUCUGAUGGGCCUUGCAUCCAUGGCUGCCCCUGUUCUUUACAACCUCUCUCCAAGGCGUGACUCCAGAGCAAGGGGGUCAGUCUGGCUGCAGGGUCAGCUCGGAGGUGCAGGGUGAUGGGGAGAUUCUUGCUUCUCUCUCGCUUGCUCUGACUCUGCAGACACCAAGCAGGUUGCAGGACCAUGCUCCAGAGAAUGGAAGGGAAGUUGCUCAGGCCUUGGGGAGAGGGAGGCACGCACCCGAGUGCCUUUUCUGCCAGCUCUUUAGGAGCCCUCAACACCGGAACAUCUGCCCAGAAGGCCACAGGUCUGCUGUUUUCUGGCUAAACUCUUAAACCUCCACCGCAGGUGUCUGGGUCCCCAGUGCCUGUGGGGUGGGGUGGCCGCUCCAGCUUGGCAUGACUCCCCCGCCCUAUCUUCACUGCCUGCCACUCUGGCACACUUGACAUCCAGCCAGAUGCUAUGUGCUGUGGCCUCUCUUUUCAGGCUUCUGGUCACAUGUGUUGUCCUCCAUCUGCCCAGCGUGUCCUGUCCUCCUCCGCUUGUCACAAUGUACCUACAUUGCUUUGAAUGCUCCACCUGUG
ensembl:lncRNA